GGUUUUGUAGUGUAAUUAACAUUUUAGAUUGCAAAUCUAUAGACGCGGGUAAUAUCCGCCAGAACUU